rnacentral:rRNA from 1 species
CAAACGACUCUCGGCAACGGAUAUCUCGGCUCUCGCAUCGAUGAAGAACGUAGCGAAAUGCGAUACUUGGUGUGAAUUGCAGAAUCCCGUGAACCAUCGAGUCUUUGAACGCAAGUUGCGCCCGAAGCCAUGCGGCCGAGGGCACGUCUGCCUGGGCGUCACGC